rnacentral:lncRNA from 1 species
CGGUCUACUAGGGGAAUAUCCUGGUCUACUAGGGGAAUAUCCUGGUCUACUAGGGGAAUAUCCCUGUGGAUCCUGGUCUACUAGGGGAAUAUCCCUGUGGAUCCCGGUCUACUAGGGGAAUAUCCCUUGGAUCCCGUCUACU